AGUGAACGCUGGCGGUAGGCCUAACACAUGCAAGUCGAACGGCAGCACAGUAAGAGCUUGCUCUUACGGGUGGCGAGUGGCGGACGGGUGAGGAAUAUAUCGGAAUCUACUUUUUCGUGGGGGAUAAGGUAGGGAAACUUACGCUAGUACCGCAUACGCUCUACGGGUGAAAGCAGGGGAUCUUCGGACCUUGCGCGAUUGAAUGAGCCGAUGUCGUAUUAGCUAGUUGGCGGGGUAAAGGCCCACCAAGGCGACGAUCCGUAGCUGGACUGAGAGGAUGAUCAGCCACACUGGAACUGAGACACGGUCCAGACUCCUACGGGAGGCAGCAGUGGGGAAUAUUGGACAGUGGGCGCAAGCCUGAUCCAGCCAUACCGCGUGUGUGAAGAAGGCCUUCGGGUUGUAAAGCCCUUUUGUUGGGAAAGAAAAGCAGCAGGUUAAUACCCCGCUGUUCUGACGGUACCCAAAGAAUAAGCACCGGCUAACUUCGUG
rnacentral:rRNA from 1 species